rnacentral:rRNA from 1 species
CCUACGGGGAGCAGCAGUGGGGAAUAUUGGACAAUGGGCGAAAGCCUGAUCCAGCCAUGCCGCGUGUGUGAAGAAGGCCUUCGGGUUGUAAAGCACUUUCAGUGGGGAAGAAAGCCUUGGGGCUAAUACCCUCGAGGAAGGACAUCACCCACAGAAGAAGCACCGGCUAACUCCGUGCACAGCAGCCGCGGUAAUACGGAGGGUGCGAGCGUUAAUCGGAAUUACUGGGCGUAAAGCGCGCGUAGGCGGUCUGAUAAGCCGGUUGUGAAAGCCCCGGGCCCAACCUGGGAACGGCAUCCGGAACUGUCAGGCUAGAGUGCAGGAGAGGAAGGUAGAAUUCCCGGUGUAGCGGUGAAAUGCGUAGAGAUCGGGAGGAAUACCAGUGGCGAAGGCGGCCUUCUGGACUGACACUGACGCUGAGGUGCGAAAGCGUGGGUAGCAAACAGGAUUAGAUACCCCUGUAGUC